GUUGAGGGGAAUGUUGUCUGGCACGAGGAUAUCAUCAUAUGAUUACAUAAUCUCGUAGGUUAUAAUCGAAUGUAAAUAUAUAUGCAUGAAAUCGUCGGACCAGGCUUCAUCCCUCUCAAC
rfam:Arabis alpina cultivar Pajares chromosome 6, whole genome shotgun sequence.